AACGCAUAUUGCACUCUCUGGUAUUCCGGGGAGUAUGCCUGUUUGAGGGUCAGUAAAUAAUAAUUAUCAUAAUCUUUUGAUUGUGGAAUUGGGCCUUUAUUUCAUUUUAAUGAUUUAUGGCCUUAAAUUUACGUUACCGCUUGUUUAAUAUGAAAUUCGACCGAAUGGAGCAAUUAAACAUUCUCUCGUUAGGCGGAUUCAUCAAGCAAUUACGAUUUUUUGGCCGUCGAAGCACUUUUUUUUUAGAAGUGCUUGGUCGAGAUUGUAAGAUACAUUUUUAACAAUGACCUCAAAUCAGGCAAGAAUACCCGCUGAACUUAA
rnacentral:misc_RNA from 1 species